rnacentral:rRNA from 1 species
ACUGAGCCUGUGCCACGUUGAAUACACCAGUGCUUGGAUGAUCACUGAAGUUAAGCAACAUUGGGCGUGGUCAGUACUUGUAUGGGUGACCGCCUGGGAGAUCACGUGUUGUUAGUU